rnacentral:rRNA from 1 species
GACGAACGCUGGCGGCGUGCCUAAUACAUGCAAGUAGAACGCUGAAGGUGGAGCUUGCUCUUCUGGAUGAGUUGCUAACGGUUGAGUAACGCGUAGUUAACCUUCCUGGUAGUGGGGGAUAACUAUUGGAAACGAUAGCUAAUACCGCAUAAUAGUAGAUGUUGCAUGACAUUUGCUUAAAAGUUGCAAUUGCAUCACUACCAGAUGGACCUGCGUUGUAUUAGCUAGUUGGUGGGGUAACGGCUCACCAAGGCGACGAUACAUAGCCGACCUGGGAGGGUGAUCGGCCACACUGGGACUGAGACACGGCCCAGACUCCUACGGGAGGCAGCAGUAGGGAAUCUUCGGCAAUGGACGGAAGUCUGACCGAGCAACGCCGCGUGAGUGAAGAAGGGUUUCGGAUCGUAAAGCUCUGUUGUAAGAGAAGAACGAGUGUGAGAGUGGAAAGUUCACACUGUGACGGUAUCUUACCAGAAAGGGACGGCUAACUACGUG